GACAGAGGUGCCAAGCGUUAGGCGGAAUCACUGGGCUUAAAGCGUGUGUAGGCGGAGUGCUAAGUACCUUGUGAAAUCCCACAGCUUAACUGUGGAACUGCUUGGUAUACUGGGUGUCUUGAGUCACUCAGGGGCGAGCGGAACAAAUGGUGGAGCGGUGAAAUGCGUAGAUAUCAUUUGGAACGCCAAUGGUGAAAACAGCUCGCUGGGGGUGCACUGACACUGAGACACGAAAGCCAGGGGAGCGAACGGG
rnacentral:rRNA from 1 species